AGUAACUCUGUUAUCUCCUAAUAAAAAAAUACGCUUUUAACUUUUUUCGGUUUUCCUAAAGUCUCUUCAUCUUCUACAUCAGUCAUCUCGAUCUCAUCUACGUUUACAUCAUCUCCGAGAAUCCCUCUGAUCAAUUUUUCUUUCAUCUUCAUAACUCACCAAUUUAAAUCAAAUGCUUUGAGUUUGCCUUUUUUUUGGUCAAUCUGAAAAGGGGAAGAGCACAACUCUACAAACCGUUUUUCAUCUUCUUCGUUCUUAUGCCAUAUAAGUUUUUCUUCUUCUUAGUUUUGUUCUUUCUAUAUUGAAGAGAUUCAUCUUCUUCGUGGGUUCCACUGAUUGCUUUGAUGAUGGCAUUCCCUUUUGUCUGCCAACUAAUUUUUAAAAUGUCGACUCUACAUUUGGAAUUCAAUGUGUCUGAGAUGAAGAUAUUGGAGAAGAAUUCCUAAAUGCUUGAAAAAUAUGAAGAGGACAUUCUAGUUGAAGUAUUGAUGUAUAGAACUUUGUUAGAUUAUUGUGUGUUGUAAUUUGGAUCCGUGAAUGGACCAUAUGUUAUAGAAUGGUAGGAUGGUUGAAGUGCACUCUAAGUGUUUGUGAAAAUGUCAAACUUAGAUUUCACUUUACAGUAUGUUGUUGUAAUUUGGUUUUGUGAAUAAACAAAUUGUGCUACAAGCAUAUAAUGAUUUAAGUGCACUGUGAAUGUUUAAAAUGAAUAUCCAUAU
rnacentral:lncRNA from 1 species